GAAAUAGCUCAGUAGUAGAACAUCUGCUUUGCAUGCAGAAUAUCAGGGGUUCAAUCCCCAGUAUCUCCA